AGUCAUAUGCUUGUCUCAAAGAUUAAGCCAUGCAUGUCUCAGUACAAGCCUAAUUAAGGUGAAACCGCGAAAGGCUCAUUAAAUCAGUUAUGGUUCCUUAGAUCGUACCCACAUUUACUUGGAUAACUGUGGUAAUUCUAGAGCUAAUACAUGCAAACAGAGCUCCGACCGGAGACGGAAGGAGCGCUUUUAUUAGAUCAAAACCAAUCGGCGGCGGGCUCGCUCGUCGUCGUACACCCUGGUGAAUCUGAAUAACUUUCUGCUGAUCGCAUGGUCUCGCACCGGCGACGCAUCUUUCAAAUGUCUGCCUUAUCAACUGUCGAUGGUAGGUUCUGCGCCUACCAUGGUUGUAACGGGUAACGGGGAAUCAGGGUUCGAUUCCGGAGAGGGAGCCUGAGAAACGGCUACCACAUCCAAGGAAGGCAGCAGGCUCGCAAAUUACCCACUCCCGGCACGGGGAGGUAGUGACGAAAAAUAACGAUACGGGACUCAUCCGAGGCCCCGUAAUCGGAAUGAGUACACUCUAAACCCUUUAACGAGGAUCAAUUGGAGGGCAAGUCUGGUGCCAGCAGCCGCGGUAAUUCCAGCUCCAAUAGCGUAU
rnacentral:rRNA from 3 species